CAUGCCGCGUGUGUGAAGAAGGCUUUCGGGUUGUAAAGCACUUUCAGUGAGGAGGAAAACCUUACGGUUAAUAACCGUGAGGCUUGACGUUACUCACAGAAGAAGCACCGGCUAACUCCGUGCCAGCAACGGCGGUGACUGAGCGGGCUGGCAAGGCGCAUA
rnacentral:rRNA from 1 species